rnacentral:rRNA from 1 species
UGUAGGGUGCAAGCGUUAAUCGGAAUUACUGGGCGUAAAGCGUGCGCAGGCGGUCCGCUAAGACAGAUGUGAAAUCCCCGGGCUUAACCUGGGAACUGCAUUUGUGACUGGCGGGCUAGAGUAUGGCAGAGGGGGUAGAAUUCACGUGUAGCAGUGAAAUAGCGUAGAGAUGUGGAGGAAUACCGAUGGCGAAGGCAGCCCCUCGGGCAAUAACUGACGCUCAUGCACGAAAGACGUGGGGAGCAAACAAGGAUU